UCACCGCUUGCACUAUGCUGCCAAUUACUGAAAACUUGUAUUUUCAUCUUAGAAACAUCCUGUACUCAAGAUUAUUACUUGUUUGUUUCAUGUAAAUAUACAGGUGGGAGAACUUUGUAAAAAGUUAUACCCAUUUGAUCAGCACUUCCCAUUCCGAGAGUAGCAACAAUUGCCUCUAACAUGUUCUAGCUGGAGUUGGUAUUGGUAUUGGUAAUGAUGUAAUCCGUUAGAUUUUUUAAAUAAUUCUCACAACGUUGCAUUGUCUGUCCCUGUUAGAGGCGCGGCGAGAGGCGAGAGGCGCGGGCGGCGGGCUCCGGCCACAGAAUGUAGGCAAGUGUGACAAGGACACGCCCGUACUCCGCGCUAACACUUCCAUCCAGUUUCUAACGUGCUCGGUGCGCGUUUCGCAACGCUCGCCCGCGCCCGGCCCCACUUCGCCGAUGCACAGUGCACACUCGUGAACGAUUACACCUACCUACAAGGGCAAACCAGUUUGCAAAAUCCAGAUAAAGAGAUUUUGCAAGGCGGCGAGCGGCCAUUAGAAAUGCAGCGGCAGCGGCCUUCCUACCGGCUUGUGGCGAGGUGAGCCGCUACCUCAAGGCAAAAUCAUUGAUAUUUUGUUAAUUUAAUUCCCUGCUCUUUUAUCCCAAUUGUUUUAUACAUUCUGAACACUUUUC
rnacentral:lncRNA from 1 species